rnacentral:pre_miRNA from 10 species
CUUAAGGCUGCACUAAACAUUCAUUGCUGUCGGUGGGUUUCUGGUUGAAAUGACUCAUUGACGAAUGAAUGCAGACUGCGGUACAA